rnacentral:misc_RNA from 1 species
GACCAGUCAUUGGUCAGAUUCCAAUUAAAUCGAUCCAACCAAACGGAUCAAUCCAGUUCUGACAAUUAUGAUACUUAGAAUGAAAUUUUACAAAGCCUAAUCUUUUUUGGUACAGUUUUGAGAACUAAAUCAACUCUAGGAGAAUUAUGAGAAGGGAACCUAAUAUAGAAGAGAAAGGAAUACAGUCAAACUAUAUACUACAUAUAUAUAAAGAUCAGAUGCAAUUUCUACAAAUGAAGUGAGAUUAGAACUUCAAUCAGAGUCACUUGUAUAGGAAACAUAUUUGUGCAGUGGAUGCAGAAACCUAUUCAAGUUAUCUUAAAGGAAAGAAACAGAAGAAAACUUGCUCUAGUUGAUUAUGUUGUCCAUUCAUAACUUCUGCCUAUCUGCAUAUGCAACCAUUCAGGUUAGGAUGCUUAAGCAUAAUCUCUCGCUGCUUGAGGCCCAAACAUCAUUCCAGUAGCAUCGAGCGGCUGUGCGCCAAGAUCUUUUACGUGAAAACCUUCAAUUGUGGGGUUCAUGUUCAUUCUUGAAUUAACUGCUUCUAGCUUCAUUGACAGGAACUCAACCUGCUGCUGCAAUGACAGGAUGUAGUUGAUUAUCUCAUCAAGAACAAGUGCUUUACCAAUAACCUGGUUAUAGAAGGACAUAAUUCCAAGUCAAAUGAGACUGAAUUAGGAAUUUAAGUGAACCACCUGGAUGUUAACAAAUGUCUAUCACAGACAAAUCUCAAUACUGGCUUAUGAAACAUGAAAUAUAAUAGGGACGAGGUGGAUUAAUUGUAUGUCGUCUUCAUAGCCUCAACUAGGCAGAGUUUUUCUGCACACAAUAUAGAAAUUUGACUAGCGUAACAGCAGGUACACAAUAAUAAGCACCUUAUUACAUCCAGGAACCAAAUCUUGGAGUAUCUUCAUCCUCUCACUUAUCUUUUCUCUCCUAGCUCUUUCUGCUAGACUGUGGCUAUCGGUAGCUUGACCCCUUCUAGCUCGUACGUGUAUGUAGUCUUGUUUAGGUGGUUCUGGUGGUUGAACGUUCUGCUCCACAUGCUUGCCUGAACUGGUUUCUGCAUCAGUUUUGGAAUUGCGAUUAUCAUCUCUACUUCCAGAUGUUUUAAGCUUUUUUGUAUCAGAAUCGCUCACUCCAUUGCUAUUGCCAUUGCUUGAAGAAAGGACCUUUGCGGAAUCAACCUCCACCACAUCACGCCGUUUUCUUGCACCGGCGAUGCCGCCACCACGAUUUCCUCUUUGUUCCAAAUUCAUCGGAUCAUUGCACGAAACAUCCCGGUUCGAAUCCCCAAACUGAGCACCCAGACUCUGCCCAAACUGACUUUUCCCGUUCCCAUUUACCGGAAACUGCCAGAUCUCCGCCAAAUUGUAGGUCCCGUCAUUCAUAAUCGCCUGUUGAUCCAUAGAAAUAUCGCCACACACUAGCCGAUUCGUGCCUAACUCAAAUUGGAAAAAAUUCUCCAGUACUUCUGACUUUCUUAACAAAGCAAUGAGUGUAAACUCCGUCAGUGGGUUCGUUAAAAAACAGGAAAAUGAGCAGAAAGGCGUUUGCUUUAUAAUGGAUGCGCUUUUGAAGAAGCUUCAAUAAAGAAGGAAAUAGAAGCAGCAGAACCCAGUAAAAAGAAAAGCGAAAGCUAUCAAUUGGAUAGAGAGAGGUUUAGAGACAGAGAAGCAAAUCCAGAGAACGAAAGAGGAGUCUGCGUAUGUGUGUGAUCUCCUUGGACAGUGGAGGUUGGUGCGCACUGUGCCACCACUUACUGGCUAUUACAGGCACGGGGAGGAGAGACAGAGACCUCGGGAGUUGCAAAC